rnacentral:lncRNA from 1 species
UGUGCAUCCAUUUGGCUGUUUAAUAUGUGUUUUCAAAUGAUCGUAACUUGUAUUACACAAUUACAUAAAAGGGCAACAUCUUUCGUCCAGUAUCAGAUAACAAUAUAUAGUAUCUAAAAUAAGAAUAGUUUUAUUAAGAUAUUAAAUGCCCCUAACAUUGAUGCUUCAACAAUGAUCAAAGCACAUGCCGCAUAGACAUGUUUGUUAGCGCUCCGCAUACCCCUCCCCACUUCCACCCAACCAACCCUCCUCAUUUCCUCCUUCAUUGUUACAGUGGUGUACCAACACAACAAUUUAUCACAUAAAAUAAUAACACAAAGACACACA